UAUAAGUAGUUUUUCACAAUAAGUGUACAAAGAACUGAUAAAAUUAUUACAAAUCAAUUGCACAUUAUCAUAUCCUUUGUACGUUAACUGAUAUUUCUUCAUUCAAUCGCCGUUUAAUUCUAGUUUAAUUAUUUUAUUAUAGAUUAUUAACUUUUUUUACCUAUUCAAUUGUCGGCGAUAGCAAGCUGAAUAAAAAAACAUUAUUUGUUGUAAAUGAGAAAACUAGGUCGAAACGAAAGUGACUAUAACAGGUUUCUAGUAGCUAGUAGAUGCGGUUUACAUAAGAUAUGUUCGUUAGUGUUAAUGGAAUGUGGUGGUAAUUUCCAGCUUUGUUGACACACGUUCAGUUUUAUCUGACAGUUCAAAUGAACAUUUUAUUUUUGAGAUAUAUGCUAUUAACGUUAACAACGGGGGCACUACAGAGGGUUGCCUCGAUUGGGGUCACCAAAUUCCCCAAUGGUUCCAGCUGCUAUUACAUUUCUCAGUAGUCUGCUCGCUGAACAAACUAGAAAGAUAUAUAGAAGCAUCUGGUAUAAGAUAAGAUAAAGCACUCAGCCUUCUGCCUGUUCCACCAUUCAAAUGCAUAACAUGCAACUGUCAUUUCCUUGUAGACACCCAGAACUUUGAUUUAUCGGGAUUCAUUUCUUUGGAGAAGCGCAAGCCUAUCAGCUACCAAGGAAAGCUGUACAUCAGAUAACUCUGGAUAGAAUUAAGACAAUGAUAGGAAUUAAGUUGCGUUUAUGAUGAAUAUUUGAGAUAAUUAUAUGAAUAUAAGAUAAAAAUUACUUUCUGGGAUGUUAAAUUUCAUAAUCUCUAGAUGACAAAUAUUUAUUAUGGUGGCAAAUAAAUUUAUUAUCCUA